rnacentral:rRNA from 1 species
UACGGGGGGGGCAAGCGUUGUUCGGAAUUACUGGGCGUAAAGGGCUCGUAGGCGGCCAACUAAGUCCGACGUGAAAUCCCCAGGCUUAACCUGGGAACUGCGUCGGAUACUGGAUGGCUUGAAUCCGGGAGAGGGAUGCGGAAUUCCAGGUGUAGCGGUGAAAUGCGUAGAUAUCUGGAGGAACACCGGUGGCGAAGGCGGCAUCCUGGACCGGCAUUGACGCUGAUGAGCGAAAGCCAGGGGGAGCAAAACGGG